AUUGAACGCUGGCGGCAGGCUUAACACAUGCAAGUCGAGCGGGGGAAGGUAGCUUGCUACCGGACCUAGCGGCGGACGGGUGAGUAAUGCUUAGGAAUCUGCCUAUUAGUGGGGGACAACGUCUCGAAAGGGAUGCUAAUACCGCAUACGUCAUACGGGAGAAAGCAGGGGAUCGUCGGACCUUGCGCUAAUAGAUGAGCCUAAGUAAGAUUAGCUAGUUGGUGGGUAAAGGCCUACCAAGGCGACGAUCUGUAGCGGGUCUGAGAGGAUGAUCCGCCACACUGGGACUGAGACACGGCCCAGACUCCUACGGGAGGCAGCAGUGGUGAAUAUUGGACAAUGGGGGGAACCCUGAUCCAGCCAUGCCGCGUGUGUGAAGAAGGCCUUAUGGUUGUAAAUCACUUUAAGCGAGGGGGAGGCUACUUUAGUUAAUACCUAGAGAUAGUGGACGUUACUCGCAGAAUAAGCACCGGCUAACUCUGUGCCAGCAGCCGCCGUAA
rnacentral:rRNA from 1 species